GAUGGGCAACCUGUAGCACCAAGACAGACCACAUAAAUAAGCUGAGAGGUUGACAAGUUGAACAAACCAGCUGGAGCACUAUGAAAAGGCACUUCUCCAGACCACGCCUCUGUUGGUGCUUUCGGUGUCAUGGUCAUCCUGUCGGCAAUGGGGGAUGGGUGACUUUGCGGUUCCUCCGUCUCCUCUUCUUUCACCGUUGUUGCAGCACAAAGAGGGUGUUAGACUCAGCUGGAGAGUUCGGCUGGCAGCUGGAGCGGGCAGGGCUGUCUGGAGAUGGAGUUGGGC